UACGUAGGGGGCGAGCGUUGUCCGGAAUUACGGGGCGUAAAGAGCUCGUAGGUGGUUUGUCGCGUUGUUCGUGAAAACCGGGGGCUUAACCCUCGGCGUGCGGGCGAUACGGGCAGACUUGAGUACUGCAGGGGAGACUGGAAUUCCUGGUGUAGCGGUGGAAUGCGCAGAUAUCAGGAGGAACACCGGUGGCGAAGGCGGGAUCCUGGGCCAGUACUGACGCUGAGGAGCGAAAGCGUGGGGAGCAAACAGG
rnacentral:rRNA from 1 species